rnacentral:lncRNA from 1 species
AAGAGAAAAGCAAGGCUCGCUGGACCUUCCAGAAAGGCAGGAAUGAGGGGGAGGCAAUGGUUAGCAGCCAGCCACUGGGAAAACACCGUGCAGGGUGGGCCCCUGGGGAGCGGGGGGGAGCUCCAGCGAUGUUGAGGAGGGCAUGGCGGGUGCAUUGGGGGCUUCGUCUAUUCCAUCAAGCCCACCCAGAAAGGCAGGGCAGGCUCCGUGUCCCACUGGCCAGGUUCAGUCCUGGGACCCUAGACUAGUUACCAAACCCUGCUGUGUUUCUGCUUCCUGGCCGUCACAUGGGGACCUGCCUCUUAGGGUUCUGUGAGGACCCAACGGGUUAAGACAAAUAACACACUUAGAGCAUGGCCAGAUACAGGAAAAGUGUUCUAUUCAUUUUAUUUCAUCAACACAUUAACUCAUGGAGGUAAUUUUUUUUUUUUUUUUUUUUCCCGAGACGGAGUCUCACUCUAUCAUCCAGGCUGGAGUGCAGUAGUGCAAUCUCGGCUCACUGCAACCUUUGCCUUACAGGUUCGAGCUAUUCUCCUGCCUCAGCCUCCUGAGUAGCUGGGACUACAGGCGUGUGCCACUGCGCCCAAUUAAUUUUUGUAUUUUUGGUAGAGAUGGGGUUCCACUAUGUUGGCCAGGCUGGUCUUGAACUCCUGACCUCAAGUGAUCCACCCCCCUCAGCCUCCCAAAGUGCUGGGAUUACAGGCGUGAGCCAGUGUACCUGGCCCAAGGUGAAUAUUAUCCCCAUUUUGUAGAUGAGGAAACUGAGGCUCAGAGGGCCCCAGGAGAAGUGGCCUCACAGAAUCCACUACACAAAGAAUGUUUAUUUAGCAACUGUCACGGGAAAGGCAGGAAAUUCAGAGGAGGCUAAUAGGCCAUUCUGUCCCAGAGAGGUUUAUGUUUCUAGUGGGGUGGUGAUUGCAAACCCCAGUAAAGUUUUUCUGCUUUCAAAGGGCAGAGAGAUCCCAGGGGAAGGAAAGUGGGAGAGGAAGGGGAUUUGGGCUGGUUAGAGGAAGCUUUGCUAGAGGAACUAAGCUCCAGGAUAAUCAGGGUUUGUGAUGGGGUGGGGAGAGAAAACCAUCAACUCAGAGGCAGAAGAGGUUUUCAUAGUAUUUGUAUCCUCUCUCCUCAGGCUCUGCAUUGGCUGGUCCUGAUUACAGAAAAAAAAAAAAUGAUCUGCUUCAGAGUGGGUCAAGAGACCCACGGAUUAAAAGCCUCAAAUGUAUGAGUACAUAUGGGCACCAAGAAGGGAACAGGCACCGAGGCCUAUUGAGGGUAGAGAAUGGAAGGAAAGUGAGGAAUGAAAAACAACUAUGUUUAUUACCUGGGUGGCAAAAUAAUCUGCACACCAAACCCCUGUGACAUGCAGUUUACCUGCACCUGUCCCAGUACCCUUGAACCUAAAGUAAAAAUUAAAAAUAAAAAAGAAAGUUGAAAUGACUAAUAACAAAAAAAAAUUUUUUUAGAGAUGGGGGUCUUGCUAUUUUGCUCAGGCUGAUCUUAAACUCCUGGCUCAAGCGAUCCUUCCCCCUUGGCCUCCCAAAGUGCUGGGAUUAUUUUUAAUGACGUUUGUUCAUACUUUGUUUGUAAUACUUAUGGAGAUUCUCACCCACCGUUACCAGUUAGCUUUCCCAAACUGUGCUUUAACUGUUGAUUUUGUAAUAAAAAGCAGUAUCUUCAAAUAAAUAAAUAAAAUGAACACAUUGAAAACACAAACAAAAAAGGCCUCGGUGUAGGUUUCCAGUCUCUGAGUGAGGCUGUAUACACUCAGCCAGGGAGGAAAGGAUCCAUGAUCAUUGUUAGAGGUAAACAUGGAAAAGAUAGCACAGUGACAAGCCAGUGGUCCUCAACUUCGGUGGCAUAUUAGAAUACCCUGGGAAGUCCCACUCCAUCCCAAUUAAGUCCGAAUCUCUGAAGGUGGGGCUGAGGCAUCAGUAGGUUUUAAAGCUCCUGGGGGCUGUUGUGCAAAGGAAAACUUGAAGCUCUGUUCCUUCAUUUCAAAAAGAAAGAAAGAAAAUGGAAGUGGCCAGAGCCUCUCUCCAGGCGAGGAACAGAAAGCAGAAAAGAACUGGCUUCUUUUUGUGAUCUUGGUCCAAACCUCUUUUUCCUCUCACUGAAGGAUUCUCCCAGCAACCUCCAAGCAACCAGUCAAGAGACGCUGCCCUGAAUUUUUGGUCCUCAGCUAUAGAACAAAGAAGUCUUUGAGGUUUAACAAGAGGCUGCUCAGCUCUCUGGCCCCUGGGCUACUAAGAUCUAGAUUGGGAGCCUGGACUGCCACAUGUGUAAGGGACGGAGCCUCGGAUCAGGGCUGCCAGCUGGUGCCCUCCAAAGGCAGUAUCUCACCUCCUGCCCACCCUCCUCCCAACCCUCAGGAGGGUGCUUGCAGUGAGAUGAGAUGCCGCAGGGAAUAAAAACCACCAGCACCCCCUCAGCGUCCCUCCACUGUGUCAGGAUCACAGACAGUGAGCCCCAGCCCCCAGCCCAGCCCUCUCUCCCCUGGAGGGAAACCAGCUUAAAUUUGACUGGUUAGUAGGAAUCCCUCAUCUGGUCAGUGCCAAGAUAUCCCCAGCCUCCUGCUCCCUAACCCGGCUCCUCCGGGAGUGCUCUUCCAAGCAGGUGGAAACAUAGCUUGCCUGAAGUGGUGAUGAAUCUCCUCAUAGUAGGGGUUGGGAGGAUAGGUGGCACUUGGACUAGAAUUGGGAAUAUGGGAGUGGGAAGGGCAGUGGAAGGGGGAUUUUGUUCCAUUUUUUUUUUUUUUUUUUUUUUUUUUUUGCUUUCUCCAGUCUCAGAGGUAGGAGAUGUUGGGCAGCAGUCAAGAAAAAGUUCACCUCUCCAAGCUUUACCAUAGGCAACUGGCCACCACCCCUCCUCACUCCAGCGGUUUGAAUGGUUUGCUCCUAACUGUGCCCUCUGCAUUUGCCUUCAUCCAUCUCCAUUCUUCUUUACGGUCAACAUGCCAGGACCCUACAUCUUCUCCCACAUCAGUUGUUCACAGGGGCUCCUUCCCAUGGAGUUCUGUCUAAUGGCUUCCCAAACCUGAGUCUCAUGGACAUGUCCACUCUUCUUGUCCAAUAUCUCAGGAGCCUUGAAUACUGCUGACCACUAUGGUUGUAGGGUGGUGGUAGGGUGGUGGUAGGAUGGUGUAGGGUGGUGGUAAGGUGGUUGUAGGGUGGUGUACAGUGGUGGUCAGGUGGUGGUAAGAUGGUAUAGGGUGGUGUAGAGUGGUAGGGUGGUGGAAGGAUAGUGUGAUAGGGUGGUGGAAGGGUGGUUGUAGGGUGAUGUAGGGUGGUGGUAGGGUGGUGGAAGGGUGGUUGUAGGGUAGUUUUAGGGUGGCAGGGUGGUGGUACAGUGGUGGUAGAGUGGUGGUAAGGUGGUGUAGGGUGACGGUAGGGUGGUGUAGGGUGGUGGAAAGAUAGUGGUAGGGGGGUGUAGGGUGGUGGUAGGGUGAAAAUAAAGCUACAUGUAUAUAUUGAGGUCUGGCACACAGUGUUUAAAACAUGUUAGCUCUCUCUUCCCUGCGUACUCUCAAGAGUGUAUGUAUGGUGUUGAGUGUACCCUGGGCCCUGGCUCUGGGUCAUUCAGCAAUGACUGAGGAGGGCUGGAAACAAGGAGGUGCCUGUGGAGAACAAAUCCACUUCUGGUUACUGGUUUGAGACCUGGUAACAGUGGCCAUCCCCGACCUUCUUGGGCUGCCAUCUUUGAAGACCACCAUCCCUAAGGUGAACAGAGAUGGUUCAGAGAUUUUUCCUUUAUCUUUCCAUAGAGGAAGUACAACCAGAAGUUGGGAUGAGUCGGCCUUGAGAUGGAAGAGAUUUGAGAUACCCCACUUUUCCCAGUGACUGCUUUGAUAAGCAGACAGUCUUCCUUUCUCUUUCCUUUGAAGAUUUUGGUCCAAUUUGCAAAGGAGCUAGUAUCCCAGUUGUUUUAAGAAUGUAUAGUCCUGGAGGCAGACACCAACUGAGAAAAUGGAGCACCUAGAAAAAGGCAGAUAAGGGAAUAAAAGAA